rnacentral:tRNA from 1 species
GGUGGCUCAGUGGCAGAGUGCUUGCCUUGCAUGCAUGAGGUCCUGGGUUCGAUUCCUGAGCACCA